GCUUACAAUCUAAUAGGGGAGACAACAUGAAAACAAAUAUGGAUACAAGGUAUCCAUCUGAAUUGGUAGAGAAAAUUUCUUCCCUAAGAGUUCCCUACAUCUGUGAAACCACAGGUCCCAGAAAAAAAAAUUGUUGAUUUUUUUUGUUUUUGUUUUUUUGGUGUUGAGAAUUGAGGAUUAUUUGGGGACUGAGAAAUGAAAGAUGCCAAUGUGGACAGGUGGGCCUGCCAGAGAUGUAUGUGAGAAGCAUGGUGGAGAGAGCAUAGUUCUGUGUGGGACCUCUGGACUUGAAGUCAGGAUAGACCUGGGUUUGCAUCCCAUCUCUGAAAAUUCUUAGGUGGGUAACACUGGACAAAUUGUAUAACCUUAAGGACCUUGGAUCCUUCAUUUAUAAAACGAAGCUAAUCACUUAUUGCAUUUAGCAUGGUACUUGCUUCACAGCAAUCCUGAGGUACUUACCUCCCGGGGUAGUUUGGAGACCCAAAUGGGGUAAUGUAGGUACUUUGGAAAACCCUAUAAAUGUCAGUUAUUUAGACUAAUAGGUUUUCAUUCAAAAAAAGGAAGAUCAGAAAAGGAAGUGGGCUGGCUAUGUGGUGAGGGUGAGGAAUGACAGAUGGCCAGUAAAAAUGUUGCCCAGAUACCCAUGAAAUGUAAUUUAGAUGCUUUAUGGAGAAUCUAUGGGACAAGAAGGGCAGCUGCCCCAAAGCUGAUGGAUUUUUUUCAGCCACACACGUGGAUGGGUUUUGAUUUGCACAGAUGGAGAGAAUAUCCCAUCAAUUGAACCAUGGCUAGGUAAUUGAAGCAUUAGAGCUAAAGUCCUCAUCCUGUAGGCUGAAGGCCAGCCUAGUUAAGUUUGAGUGGCUCAUCAACAUGUUGACUAAUGACUGAUUUUUUUUAACAGUAAUCAUCGAAAACCAUCUAUCAAGCGAUAUUUAGUUUUGAAGAUCUCUGUGGAGAGAGAACCCACACCAAGGAAAUCACAGGUCUUUGUAGCACAAGUUUCAUUAUUAGAUGGUAAUGCCAGGGAGUAUCAGGCACAGCCCUGGGUCUGAGCCCCUCCCUCCUUUCCUCCCUCGGUGCAGAAGUAGAGUUGGGUGGUAGAGAAGAUGCACCAUUUUGGCAGAUAGUUUAUCUGGCUCUUCGAGGUGUGGAUUUUAUCUGACAUCUACUCAUCUACUCUGAGCCUCUGGCAGUGUUUGAUCAGAGCUGCUCAGAACCUGGCCCCACCCAAUAGCCUAACCUCAAUUCUCUAAUCUGGGGUUCUUAUUUCCCCUUUUUUUUUUCUGACUCCCUGCGGCUGGUUGCAUCUGGGAGCUUCACUUAGUCUGCAAAAUCUGCUAACGACUCAGACUGUUUCCAUCUUCCUAACGUCUUGUCAUCCAUCCCUCCACACCCCCAAGGAGGAGUGAGGUUGGAGCAGGAGGAAAGGGCAGGGUAGAGUGUCAUGGGGGAGGCUGCAUGUAACUGAUGGCUCCAUUCCAAAAGGAAACAGCUUUGUUGCAGGGAGGGGAGAAGCUCUCAAGGCUCUCACCGUGAUGGGCAAAGGGGACGGAGAACCUGAAUCCCUCAAGUCCCCUCCCCCAGCUGGAGCUGAGAAGUACCCAAGCCCAGAAGCUGCAAUGCAGACAUCUGGUACAUAAACACCUCAUCUUCCUGCCUCUCCUUGGCAUCCCUACUGCCUACGUGCCAUCUGGUGGUGGUUGGAGGCUACUGAAUGUUACUGGAGAAAGAUCUGCAUAACCUGUGCCCAUCUGUGCCAUGUAUGUACUCUUCUUACAUGAUUAUUUACCUUUUGGCCCAUAAUGAUGAUGAUUCAUCUUGAAACAGAGUCUGAGGACCUGUCCUUUCCCCUUCCCAGGAAAGUCAGCGAUCUUACACUUGACAUAUAUUGAGUUUUGUUUUGUUUUGGAGGCAAUUGGGGUUAAGUGACUUGCCCAGAGUCACACAGCUAGUGACUUAUGUGUCUGAAGCCAGAUUUGAACUCAGGUCCUCCUGACUCCAAGGCAGGAGCUCUAUCCACUGCCCCGAUCUUACACUUGAAAUGGACAAGAAGAUAGAGUGGACACGACAUGGACCUUGGGGACCAGAAUUGGGUAGCUGUUUCUUUCGGUUGCUUUUGGGAUUCUGGAUUUCCUACUUUCUGUGCAAACAGAGAAUGGUGAAGCUCCUACAAGGUGCACUAGACCUGAACCACGUGAGAAAGUUGCUGAGACCCAAGACUACCUGCUGGUGGUCUAGAAGAAGAAGAGGCAAAAUCAUUACUAAUCCUCCCCCUGAAUCUUCAGCCUCAGAAAACUGAGGUGGCAAGAGAUCUGCAGUAUGUAACUGGAACUGCAGUGGGUGUUCUCAGAACAUGGAAUGCUGCUCUCCUCACCUGUCCUUUAAAGCUCAACUCAACUAGCAUCUUCUCCUUGAUCCCCUAAUUGGUGCCUGGGGACACAAAUACCAAAGAAAGAAAAACAAUCCCUGCUCUCAAGGUCCUUACACUCCAUCAAAGAAUGAUAGAGAACAGAGGGAUGUGGAGAUGAAGGAGAGGUCAAGAUGGAUAGCUUCAGUCUUCUCAGGAAAGCUAUAAACAAGAUCCACAGAGCCUUUAGUCCCGGGAUCCACGACUCUUCUCAUUGUCCUCUACAAAGCCAUUUCCAUACUGCCCACAGAACACCAAUCAAUACCGGUAGGUCUGCUAUCCUCAUUCUCUCAUGAGCUCCUUUCUAUGCACACGAAGAGAAGAGACGAACAAGCCC